rnacentral:rRNA from 1 species
AUGGCAUCUUCAUCUCUAUCAGUCGUGUUGCUCCUGUGCCUGGCCUCGGCGGUGUCGGCGCAGCUGUCGUCCACGUACUACGACAAGUCGUGCCCUUCGGCUCUUUCCAAAAUCCAGGCCGGCGUGGCGGCAGCCGUGGCGAGCGACCGCCGCAUGGCCGCGUCGCUGCUCCGGCUGCACUUCCAUGAUUGCUUUGUCCAGGGCUGUGACGCGUCCGUUCUGCUGAAUGAAACUAGCGUGGGUGGCAACGAGCGGGGCGCAUUCGGGAACGUGGGAUCGCUCCGUGGCUUCGAGGUCAUCGAACAAAUCAAGAAGGAUGUGGAAGCCGUGUGCAAAAAGCCCUACAGCAACAAUGGCUCCGUCGUCUCCUGCGCCGACAUCCUCGCCGUCGCCGCCCGCGAUUCCGUCGUCGCGUUGGGAGGGCCGUCGUGGGAGGUUAAACUGGGAAGGAGGGACUCCACCACGGCUAGCGUGGCACAGGCCAACCAGGACCUGCCUCCGCCCUUCUUGGACGUCGCCGGCCUCAACGCCAGCUUCGCCGGCAAGGGGUUCAGCUUGACCGACAUGGUCGCCCUCUCCGGCGGCCACACCAUCGGGAUGGCGCAGUGCCAGAACUUCAGAAACAGGCUCUACAACGAGCCCAACAUCAACACGACCUACGCGACGAAGCUCAAACUCAACUGCCCCACGUCUGGCGGCAACACCAACCUGGCCCCGCUCGACGACGACACAGCGACCCCCCCGAACCCGGACUUGUUCAACAACGACUUCUUCAUAAACCUCCAGUCAGAGAAGGGCCUCCUUCACUCCGACCAGGUGCUCUACAACGCCACCGCACCCGCCGGUGCCACCGAAGGCAUCGUUAAUGGCUUCGCUUCUAGCCAGGCCGCCUUCUUUAGCGCCUUCGCCUCCGCCAUGGUGAAGAUGGCCAACCUCAGCCCGUUGACUGGCUCUCAGGGCCAGGUCAGGACCGUGUGCUCCAUCCCCAACUAA